rnacentral:rRNA from 1 species
CCUACGGGAGACAGCAGUGAGGAAUAUUGGUCAAUGGGCAUAAGCCUGAACCAGCCAAGUCGCGUGAGGGAUGAAGGUUCUAUGGAUCGUAAACCUCUUUUAUAAGGGAAUAAAGUGCGGGACGUGUCCCGUUUUGUAUGUACCUUAUGAAUAAGGAUCGGCUAACUCCGUGCCAGCAGCCGCGGUAAUACGGAGGAUCCGAGCGUUAUCCGGAUUUAUUGGGUUUAAAGGGUGCGUAGCCGGCCUUUUAAGUCAGCGGUGAAAGUCUGUGGCUCAACCAUGGAAUUGCCGUUGAAACUGGGAGGCUUGAGUAUGUUUGAGGCAGGCGGAAUGCGUGGUGUAGCGGUGAAAUGCUUAGAUAUCACGCAGAACCCCGAUUGCGAAGGCAGCUUGCCAAGCCAUGACUGACGCUGAUGCACGAAAGCGUGGGGAUCAAACAGGAUUAGAUACCCGUGUAGUC